ACCUCUGCCCAAUGAAUCGUUUAAAUGGCCGCAGUAUUUUGACUGUGCAAAGGUAGCAUAAUCACUUGCCCUUUAAUUAGGGGCUGGAAUGAAGGAGGCGACGAGAUCUAGGCUAUUUAGAUUCUUACAGAAAUUGACAGGCGGGUCAAAAGGCCCGCGUGCGCCAAAGGGACGAUAAGACCCUAUAAAACUUUACUUUUAGUGCGGGGCCUGACAGGCCGGCCGUGUGCUUGAGAGUUCGACUGGGGCGGUAGUUAUAAAAACAAUGAUAUAUAAAAUAUAUUAAAUAGUGUGUUAGAGCUCUUUGAGAAAUAGAACAAGUUACUUUAGGGAUAACAGCGUAAUUCCCCCAGAGAGUUCUAAUUGGCGGGGGGGCUUACGACCUCGAUGUUGAAUUGGGGCACCGCGUAUAAGUAGAAAUAUAUGUAGACAGUCUGUUCGACCGUUAAACCCCC
rnacentral:rRNA from 1 species